AUACAUGCAAGUCGAGCCGAAUGGAUUGAGAGCUUGCUCUCAAGAAGUUAGCGGCGGACGGGUGAGUAACACGUGGGUAACCUGCCCAUAAGACUGGGAUAACUCCGGGAAACCGGGGCUAAUACCGGAUAANAUUUUGAACUGCAUGGUUCGAAAUUGAAAGGCGGCUUCGGCUGUCACUUAUGGAUGGACCCGCGUCGCAUUAGCUAGUUGGUGAGGUAACGGCUCACCAAGGCAACGAUGCGUAGCCGACCUGAGAGGGUGAUCGGCCACACUGGGACUGAGACACGGCCCAGACUCCUACGGGAGGCAGCAGUAGGGAAUCUUCCGCAAUGGACGAAAGUCUGACGGAGCAACGCCGCGUGAGUGAUGAAGGCUUUCGGGUCGUAAAACUCUGUUGUUAGGGAAGAACAAGUGCUAGUUGAAUAAGCUGGCACCUUGACGGUACCUAACCAGAAAGCCACGGCUAACUACGUGCCAGCAGCCGCGGUAAUACGUAGGUGGCAAGCGUUAUCCGGAAUUAUUGGGCGUAAAGCGCGCGCAGGUGGUUUCUUAAGUCUGAUGUGAAAGC
rnacentral:rRNA from 1 species